rnacentral:rRNA from 1 species
GACGAACGCUGGCGGCGUGCCUAAUACAUGCAAGUCGAGCGAGUCUGCCUUGAAGAUCGGAGUGCUUGCACUCUGUGAAACAAGAUACAGGCUAGCGGCGGACGGGUGAGUAACACGUGGGUAACCUGCCCAAGAGAUCGGGAUAACACCUGGAAACAGAUGCUAAUACCGGAUAACAACAGAUGAUGCCUAUCAACUGUUUAAAAGAUGGUUCUGCUAUCACUCUUGGAUGGACCUGCGGUGCAUUAGCUAGUUGGUAGGGUAACGGCCUACCAAGGCGAUGAUGCAUAGCCGAGGUGAGAGACUGAUCGGCCACAUUGGGACUGAGACACGGCCCAAACUCCUACGGGAGGCAGCAGUAGGGAAUCUUCCACAAUGGACGCAAGUCUGAUGGAGCAACGCCGCGUGAGUGAAGAAGGGUUUCGGCUCGUAAAGCUCUGUUGUUGGUGAAGAAGGACAGGGGUAGUAACUGACCUUUGUUUGACGGUAAUCAAUUAGAAAGUCACGGCUAACUACGUG